rnacentral:rRNA from 1 species
AUGCACGCUGGCGGCGUGCCUCAUCCAUGCAAGUCGAGCGAACGGAUGAGAAGCUUGCUUCUCUGAUGUUAGCGGCGGACGGGUGAGUAACACGUGGAUAACCUACCUAUAAGACUGGGAUAACUUCGGGAAACCGGAGCUAAUACCGGAUAAUAUUUUGAACCGCAUGGUUCAAAAGUGAAAGACGGUCUUGCUGUCACUUAUAGAUGGAUCCGCGCUGCAUUAGCUAGUUGGUAAGGUAACGGCUUACCAAGGCAACGAUGCAUAGCCGACCUGAGAGGGUGAUCGGCCACACUGGAACUGAGACACGGUCCAGACUCCUACGGGAGGCAGCAGUAGGGAAUCUUCCGCAAUGGGCGAAAGCCUGACGGAGCAACGCCGCGUGAGUGAUGAAGGUCUUCGGAUCGUAAAACUCUGUUAUUAGGGAAGAACAUAUGUGUAAGUAACUGUGCACAUCUUGACGGUACCUAAUCAGAAAGCCACGGCUAACUACGUG